rnacentral:rRNA from 1 species
AAUCAACGCUGGCGGCGUGCCUCAGACAUGCAAGUCGAACGAUUAAAGCUCUCUUCGGAGAGUGUAUAGAGUGGCGCACGGGUGAGUAACACGUAAGUAAUCUACCUUUGAGUGGGGAAUAACGUCCGGAAACGGACGCUAAUACCGCAUAAUGCAGCGGCAUCGCAAGAUGACAGUUGUUAAAGAUUUAUCGCUUGAAGAGGAGCUUGCGGCAGAUUAGCUAGUUGGUAAGGUAAUGGCUUACCAAGGCUACGAUCUGUAACCGGUCUAAGAGGACGGUCGGUCACACUGACACUGAAUAACGGGUCAGACUCCUACGGGAGGCAGCAGUCGGGAAUUUUGGGCAAUGGGCGAAAGCCUGACCCAGCAACGCCGCGUGAAGGAUGAAGUAUUUCGGUA